AGUGAACGCUGGCGGUAGGCCUAACACAUGCAAGUCGAACGGCAGCACAGGAGAGCUUGCUCUCUGGGUGGCGAGUGGCGGACGGGUGAGGAAUACAUCGGAAUCUACUUUUUCGUGGGGGAUAACGUAGGGAAACUUACGCUAAUACCGCAUACGACCUACGGGGGAAAGCAGGAGAUCUUCGGACCUUGCGCGAUUGAAUGAGCCGAUGUCGGAUUAGCUAGUUGGCGGGGUAAAGGCCCACCAAGGCGACGAUCCGUAGCUGGUCUGAGAGGAUGAUCAGCCACACUGGAACUGAGACACGGUCCAGACUCCUACGGGAGGCAGCAGUGGGGAAUAUUGGACAAUGGGCGCAAGCCUGAUCCAGCCAUACCGCGUGGGUGAAGAAGGCCUUCGGGUUGUAAAGCCCUUUUGUUGGGAAAGAAAUCCAGCUGGUUAAUACCCGGUUGGGAUGACGGUACCCAAAGAAUAAGCACCGGCUAACUUCGUGCCAGCAGCCGCAGUAA
rnacentral:rRNA from 1 species